rnacentral:tRNA from 1 species
UCGGAGUUGACAGAGUGGUAAUGUAGCCGAUUGAUACUCGGUAAAACCUACGGGUUUCAAGGGUUCGAAUCCCUUACUCUCCGCAA